rnacentral:rRNA from 1 species
UCAAGCUAAUAAGGGCGCAAGGGGGAUGCCUUGGCAUUGGUAGCCGAUGAAGGACGUAGCGAUCUACGAUAAGCCACGGGAAGUCGAAAGCAGGCAAUGAUCCGUGGAUUUCCGAAUGGGGAAACCCGGCAGAGCAAUACUCUGUCAACUCCUUGUGAAUAAAAUAGCAUUGAGUAGGGAACCUCCUGAACUGAAACAUCUAAGUAGGGAGAGGAAAAGAAAUCAACCGAGAUUCCGCUAGUAGUGGCGAGCGAACGCGGAAGAGGCCAAACCAAGAGUAGUAAUACUUUUGGGGUUCGGACUGAGUACGGUAUUGACAAAGGUUAGUAGAAUGAAAUGGGAAGUUCAACCAUAGAGCGUGAGAGUCGCGUAUACGAAAACUUGAGUCAGCCAUCAGUAUCCAGAGUACCGCCGGACACGUGAAACCCGGUGGGAAUACGGGGGGACCACCCUCCAAGCCUAAAUACUCACCAAUGACCGAUAGUGUAUAGUACUGUGAAGGAAAGGUGAAAAGAACCCCUGACGGGGAGUGAAAAAGAACCUGAAACCUUGUGCCUACAAGCACAUAGAGCACAUCAACGUGUGAUAUGGUACCUUUUGUAGAAUGGUCCGGCGAGUGAAUGUCACUAGCGAGGUUAAGGACUUAAGGUCUGCAGCCGAAGCGAAAGCGAGUCUUAAUAGGGCGCUAAUAGUUAGUGGUAUUCGACCCGAAACCGAGUGACCUAGCCAUGAGCAGGCUGAAGUGGAGGUAAAACUCCAUGGAGGGCCGAACCCACUCCCGUUGAAAUGGUAGGGGAUGACUUGUGGCUAGCGGAGAAAUUCCAAUCGAACUCGGAGAUAGCUGGUUCUCUCCGAAAUAGCUUUAGGGCUAGCCUCAAAUAACAUUACCGCAGGUAAAGCACUGAAUGGGCUAGGGGGCGAAAGCUUACUGAACCCUAUCAAACUAAGAAUGGCGGAUAAUGAAUAUUUGGGAGUCACACUACGUGAGAUAAGUUUCGUGGUGGAAAGGGAAACAGCCCAGACCCACAGCUAAGGUCCCAAAGUACAGUUAAGUGGAAAAGGAUGUGAAGUUGCGCAGACAACCAGGAUGUUGGCUCAGAAGCAGCCACUCAUUCAAAGAGUGCGUAAUAGCUCACUGGUCGAGUGAUUGUGCGCCGAAAAUGUAACGGGGCUAAACUUGACACCGAAGUCUGGGCAGAAGGAAACUUCUGGGUAGGGGAGCAACGUGUACGGGCAGAAGCAGAAGCGGAAGCGACUGUGGACUGUACAGGAGAGAGAAUGCCGGCAUGAGUAGCGAGAGCAAAGUGAGAAUCUUUGCCGUCGAAAGCCUAAGGUUUCCUGAGGAAGGCUCGUCCUCUCAGGGUAAGUCGGGACCUAAGCCGAGGACAAUAGUCGUAGGCGAUGGACAAUCGGUUAAUAUUCCGAUACCGCCGAGCAACCGGAUGCAGUGACACAGAAGGAUAGGCAGAGCGUGGCGAUGGUAGACCACGUCCAAGCAGUGAGGCUGUUGUGUAGUGAAGUACGCACAACGUAAGGCUGGGCUGUGAUGGGGAACGAUUACGAUCGGUAAGCUGCUGAAUUCACGCUGGCGAGAAAAGCUGCUACGAAGCGAAGGCGCCCGUACCGCAAACCGACACAGGUAGGCGAGGAGAGAAUCCUAAGACGAGCGGGAGAACCCUUGUUAAGGAACUCGGCAAAAUGACUCCGUAACUUAGGGAGAAGGAGUGCCCAGGAAUGGGCCGCAGAGAAUAGACCCAAGCGACUGUUUACCAAAAACACAGGUCUGUGCGAAGUAGAGAUACGACGUAUACGGGCUGACACCUGCCCAGUGCCGGAAGGUUAAGGGGAAAUGUUAGGGCAACCGAAGCAUGGAACUUAAGCCCCGGUGAACGGCGGCCGUAACUAUAACGGUCCUAAGGUAGCGAAAUUCCUUGUCGGGUAAGUUCCG